rnacentral:rRNA from 1 species
GGGGAAUUUUGGACAAUGGGCGCAAGCCUGAUCCAGCCAUUCCGCGUGCAGGACGAAGGCCUUCGGGUUGUAAACUGCUUUUGUACGGAACGAAAAGGCUCUGGCUAAUACCUGGGGCUCAUGACGGUACCGUAAGAAUAAGCACCGGCUAACUACGUGCCAGCAGCCGCGGUAAUACGUAGGGUGCAAGCGUUAAUCGGAAUUACUGGGCGUAAAGCGUGCGCAGGCGGUUAUGUAGACAGAGGUGAAAUCCCCGGGCUCAACCUGGGAACUGCCUUUGUGACUGCAUAGCUGGAGUACGGCAGAGGGGGAUGGAAUUCCGCGUGUAGCAGUGAAAUGCGUAGAUAUGCGGAGGAACACCGAUGGCGAAGGCAAUCCCCUGGGCCUGUACUGACGCUCAUGCACGAAAGCGUGGGGAGCAAACAG